GCCAUAUCACGUUGAAACACCAGUUCGUGUACGAUCAAUGAAGUUAAGCAACGUCGAGCAUGGCCAGUAUCUAGAUGAGUCACCGUUUGAGAAUACCAGGUGCUGUAAG